UGGGGAAUAUUGCACAAUGGGCGCAAGCCUGAUGCAGCCAUGCCGCGUGUAUGAAGAAGGCCUUCGGGUUGUAAAGUACUUUCAGUCGGGAGGAAGGUGGUAAGGUUAAUAACCUUAUCAAUUGACGUUACCGACAGAAGAAGCACCGGCUAACUCCGUGCCAGCAGCCGCGGUAAUACGGAGGGUGCAAGCGUUAAUCGGAAUUACUGGGCGUAAAGCGCACGCAGGCGGUUGAUUGAGUCAGAUGUGAAAUCCCCGGGCUUAACCCGGGAAUUGCAUCUGAUACUGGUCAGCUAGAGUCUUGUAGAGGGGGGUAGAAUUCCAGGUGUAGCGAUGAAAUGCGUAGAGAUCUGGAGGAAUACCGGUGGCGAAGGCGGCCCCCUGGACAAAGACUGACGCUCAGGUGCGAAAGCGUGGGGAGCAAACAGG
rnacentral:rRNA from 1 species